UUUCUUCUCUCUUCACUCAAUCCACUGAAAUUCUAGACGAAAAGCCUUUCCUGUCGUCCUCCUCCGCCACCGCAGCCAACGAGAUAGAAUUUCGGCGGUUGCUAAAUGCUUAAAUAAGUGUUGGUAAAUUAGCAGCACUCUUUUAGAUUAUAGCGACACUCUUUAACUGUCACUAUAUACUUAGCGACCCCACAUAUAGCAACACUUUUUAAAAAUAUCGGUAAUUUUAGCUAACAGCACUUUUUGACAUGUACCUAUAUUUAAAAGUGUCACUAUAAACCGUUUUUGUUGUAGUGUUAAAUUUAAAAUAUAAAUUAAGAAUAUACUUUAACUUUAAUUUUUAUACUUAAAUUUGAUUUCCUUUACAAAUGUGAGAGCACAACGACAUGCACUACAAACAAUCAGUCGCACAUCUUUGAUUGUAUGUUACUUUGUUGGACACAUUACAUCGUUGGUUGGUCACUAAACUUUUAAUAAAAUUUAAUUUAGAUCAUUGAACUUAAAUUUUGUUGUUGUAUUAUUAGUCAUUGAACUUUUAGUAAAAUUCUAUUUAGGUCA
rnacentral:lncRNA from 1 species